GUCUAUGGCCAUACUACCCUGAAUGCAGUGGAUCUUGUCUGAUCUUGGAAGCUAAGCAGGGUUGGGCCUGCUUAGUACUUGAUGGGAGACCACCUGGCAAUACAAGGUGCUGUAGGCU
ensembl:rRNA 5S_rRNA 5S ribosomal RNA